GACGAACGCUGGCGGCGUGCCUAAUACAUGCAAGUGGGACGCAAGAGAACACACUGUGCUUGCACACCGUGUUUUCUUGAGUCGCGAACGGGUGAGUAACGCGUAGGUAACCUGCCUAUUAGCGGGGGAUAACUAUUGGAAACGAUAGCUAAUACCGCAUAAUAUUAAUUAUUGCAUGAUAAUUGAUUGAAAGAUGCAAGCGCAUCACUAGUAGAUGGACCUGCGUUGUAUUAGCUAGUUGGUAAGGUAAGAGCUUACCAAGGCGACGAUACAUAGCCGACCUGAGAGGGUGAUCGGCCACACUGGGACUGAGACACGGCCCAGACUCCUACGGGAGGCAGCAGUAGGGAAUCUUCGGCAAUGGACGAAAGUCUGACCGAGCAACGCCGCGUGAGUGAAGAAGGUUUUCGGAUCGUAAAGCUCUGUUGUAAGUCAAGAACGUGUGUGAGAGUGGAAAGUUCACACAGUGACGGAGCUACCAGAAAG
rnacentral:rRNA from 1 species